CACGUAGGGGACGAGCGUUGUCCGGAAUCAUUGGGCGUAAAGGGCGUGUAGGCGGUCAAGUAAGUGGGAUGUGAAAUCCCUCGGCUUACCCGAGGACCUGCAUCCCAAACUGCUUGGCUUGAGUAUGGGAGAGGAUGAGGGAAUUCCUGGUGUAGCGGUGAAAUGCGUAGAUAUCAGGAGGAACACCGGUGGCGAAGGCGCUCAUCUGGCCCAAUACUGACGCUGAGGCGCGAAAGCUAGGGGAGCGAACGGG
rnacentral:rRNA from 1 species